UGACCUCAAAAGAAUUUGCAAGAUGAUAGUUGGGGUUGCAAGUGAUAAAGAGAGACUAAAAGCUUUUGCUCCCAUUCAGGGAAUGAUAACUUUUGUGCAGUUGGCUAAUGAUGAUUGUGAUUAUGGCAUGGGACUUGAUUUAGGAAUGGAACUCUUUGCUCUGGUUCACACUAUAUUCACAAGGUUACUGAUCACCUUUUAUCUUUUAUGUAUAAUCUGUUGAAGAGGAAUCUAUUUACAGAAAUUAUUGAAGGACAUCUGGCAAACAGAGAACAUAGACCAACUUGCUGCAUGA
rnacentral:lncRNA from 1 species